UGGGGAAUAUUGCACAAUGGACGGAAGUUUGAUGCAGCGACGCCGCGUGGAGGGUGUAGGCCUUCGGGUUGUGAACUCCUUUUUCUCGCGAAAAAGGCACAGUUUUGGCUGUGUUGAUGGUAGUGGGGGAAGAAGCGCCGGCUAACUACGUGCCAGCAGCCGCGGUAAUACGUAGGGCGCGAGCGUUUUCCGGAUUUAUUGGGCGUAAAGAGCUCGUAGGUGGUUCGUCGCGUCUGUCGUGAAAGCCAGCAGCUUAACUGUUGGUCUGCGGUGGGUACGGGCGGGCUUGAGUGCGGUAGGGGUGACUGGAAUUCCUGGUGUAGCGGUGGAAUGCGCAGAUAUCAGGAGGAGCACCGAUGGCGAAGGCAGGUCACUGGGCCGUUACUGACACUGAGGAGCGAAAGCGUGGGGAGCGAACAGG
rnacentral:rRNA from 1 species